CACUUAGAGGUGCCCCAGUAAAGCACAGCCCGGAAUGCCUGGCUAAUAAAGUGUCAGCAGCAGGGGGAUUACGAGGGAGAUUUACAAGAGUGCAUGAGUUUAGUUGCUGCUGGAGACAUCCGAUACACUCUGUGUUUGAUUCCAGGCUUUGAGACAGCAAUGAAAUAAGCCUGCAGACUUGUGUCAAAAAGCAUUUCAGGGGGAACACUUCUGCCUCGCGUACCUGCAGGAGUCCCAGCAGAUGCCUUGAUAUGGCAUUCAGCUUUCUCCUUUUCCCAGUCCCCCUCCUAAACGUGUAUGCAAUGGAGUAUAAACUACCGAGUUUGGGCCAGAAGUUGCCAGAGCUGUGGGGAGGAGAAUGCAGGAACUGGCACACUGACAUUCACUGUUUGGCCACUGAAGGCUUUAGCCUAGCAAGGAUUUAGCUGAUGGGACUCUAAUGGAGAUUGCCAGGAUUUGGAUCCAUCUUCUAGAAACGCGAUGUGGACAGGGACUGAUUGAAGGAGAUGACACAGACAACAACGAGGGCAAAGCCCCUGCUGUACAGACACUCAGACCACUCAUCUGCUGGGCUCCUGUGCCGUUGCCAAGCCUCACGCUUCCCCCAUGCAGCCUUGGGAGGCGUCUGUGCAGCCUGCUGCCCUGGAUGAUGCUGUUAACCACAGCUUGGGAACUGUCCCAGAGACUCUGCCGGUGCCUAGAUCUGCCCUUUGAUGUUCUGCAGCUUUCCAAGUCAAAGGGCAGUUUGGUCCAGAAAGCGGUGAAGAAAGAUGAAUACAGCCAAUGAACAUUUCCUCAAGCAGCAAAACGCACGAAGCCUGCUUGGUAAAUGGGUCUCAUAGCUGCUGCCUCUCAUAUCUGAGGUAGAAGCUGAUGGGAUAUUUGCAAUGUCGCACUCUCCUCUAGCUUCUCUAGUGUUUGUUAAGAGCUAAGCUCUGGUUACAGCCUUAGUGGGAUUUAACAAGAUCUCUCUCCCUUCUAUCCAGCCGUCUAUUUUUGUGAAAAUCACAGCAACCUGAUUAUUUCUGAGACCUCUGCCCCCUUGUCAAUUUUGAUUGGAGUUGGCCCAGGAGUUCAAAAGGCUGUAACAGUUUGAUCAUAUAAUCCUGGCUUCCUUAGGAAACCAAGCUAAGGAACAAACAAACAGAAGUCUUUACAGAAAUACUCCCUUGACAGCUGAGGAUUUUAUUUUUUAAUCAACACCCUGACUUCUAUGAUGAUUUUUACCUUCGCUUCCCACAAAGACCGUCUUACAGGACAGCCACCAAAUGGAGAAGUGGCAUCACAGCAACAUGACUGCAGGCAGGCUCACAUUAAGGUCCAACUAGUCUGCAACCAGUGGGAGCCAUGGGAAACCAGCAUGAGACCCAAGUAUCAUGCCAACAGCCCUUCUACACUUAAUGCAAAAGAUGAUGGCUUGCAGAGUGAUUAGUGGACAUGUUUAACUGGAGUAAAGAUCAGAGCUGAGCUGGUUGGUGGAUGGGUGUGCAGGGGGAGAGGAAUUCCCCAGAUGGAGCGUUCCCCCCAGCACCUCCACCCAGCUGAAACCCUAAGCCAGGAGCUGGGUGGGGUGGGGACACCAGCUCCAACCUUGGAAGCCUGGCACCAGAGAUAAAGAACAGCGUCUCUCGAUGGUCCCAGCCGAAUUCCAGCCUAGUUUGGCAGGGUUGCUUAACCAAAAUAGCACAGGGAACCAUCUGAAUCACUAUGGGCUGCUAAUUCAAGCGCUGGGAGAUGAGCACAGCUCUGCCAAUCACAAGCUUUGCCACAUCCAACCUGACCGUGGAGCAGGAACACAGUGCUCAGACUCAUCCAGCAUCCACCUACCUCCACACUUCUCUCUACUGCUGUUCUUUCUUUGAGCACUGACAGCAGAUCUGUUGAAGGCACAGAUUUACAACCUAAUCUUAAGAAAAGGUAGCAGCUGCCAAUGUGGAAACUCUGGACUCUGAGCAUGCCUGGAUGGACCAAAGUAGUAUUUGUUUGUGUGUUAGUUGCAAAUUGGUUUUGCAUAUACCACUUUCAAAGCAGUUUCCUUCUUUCCUUUUUCUUCACCAUCACCUUCUUUUUUCUUCCUUUUUUAUUAUAUUUUUUAACACAGCUUCUCCCUCUGUAAGAGGUGUACAUUUAAUUAUAAAAAAAGCCUUUUUCGGUUGUAAUCUGUUUCCAGUUCAAUUCCUUUGCUGGAUAAAUCCCUUAAACGUGUUGUCAUUCCUUAUUUAUUGAUUGCAGGUAUUUGGGGUUUAAUUGAGCAAGUCGGUCGUGGCCCAGGGCAGGAGUGGCGCUACAUGAGCAAUUAAAUCUGAUUAGCCCGAGCCCUUUAAGCCCCAGCUGGGUGAUUGAUAACCGAGACCAACAUUCUUCAAUUGACUCGCUACAUCAAAAAGGAGAAAGGCUUAGAGGAGAAACGCAUGGGUCCAACAUGAAAAAUAGCAAAGGAGCCGGGCAAAUUAGACUUGCAAAGGAGCUGAGCUAACAGCGAGGGGAGAAGAGAGAACGAAGCUAAAACGACGCGGACUGGGGCCAGAAUGGGGAAAGGCGGCGGUGCUCUGGUUUUAACACCCUUCAGCCCUCGGAGCUGGGCUCCAUCCAUAAAGCUGUCGUCUGUUUGUUAGUGUGUUUGUCUGCUCCGACAUUACACUUUUUGCCCGGUAGUUUAAGAAAAUAAACUAGCAGGAAGAACAGGAGUGAGUAACCCCCAUUUAUCAAGCUGAUGGAUGUCCCGUGUCUCCCUUCGGGGGGGCGGUGGCC
ensembl:lncRNA